AUAUUAUGUCUAGGAGCCUCUAGAUCAUAUGAUAAACCUAUGGAAAAGUCCUUUGUGGAAAAAAGAUCACAGGUUUUAAUUCGGAUGACGAGAUUGGCAACAGCAUUAACUUAAGUCGUAAUGACUUUCACUGGCACAACACAACUAUUUCAAAACUGAUCUUUCAUGAAGAAUGGUGGGCAGUCAAAAGAGUUGAUAGUUAGAAUGGUACAAAAGUAUUGUCAAAUUUGUUCAUGACUUAAUUUUACUUAUUACUCAAUGUGGCAUGUUAGUUCUUUACCUCAUAUCCUACUUAUAAGUCAAUAUACCUGUAAUAAGUACUAUAAGGUUAAAUGGUAAUUAAGACACUUUAUAAAAUUUAUACCAUAACAAUGUU